CAAAGUGAUCUCUUUUUCUUUGCCUGCUCUCUGGAGAGUCUGGCAGGGUGAGGACUCUCGGCAACUCUGAGAUCCCACCGCUGUGCGUUAAUCAUUAACACCGAGUUGGACAUCAGCUCUGCCAGGCAGCAGCCCGGAGAGGAACUGGGGAAAGGCUGGAAAGAGUCUGCACCUGAGGCUUUUGAGCUAAUACCAAGGAGACCACAAGGAACCCCAAAA
rnacentral:lncRNA from 1 species